AGAGUUUGAUCCUGGCUCAGAAUGAACGCUGGCGGCGUGUCUAACACAUGCAAGUCGUACGAGAAAGGGGCUUCGGCCCUGAGUAGAGUGGCGCACGGGUGAGUAACGCGUGGGUAAUCUACCCUUGGAUUUGGGAUAACUUCGCGAAAGCGGAGCUAAUACCGGAUAGUCUGGCUUUAAUUAAGAAGUCGGUAAAGGAUGCCUCUGCAUAUGCAUUCGUCCGAGGAUGAGCCCGCGUCUCAUUAGCUAGUUGGUAGGGUAAUGGCCUACCAAGGCAACGAUGAGUAGCUGGUCUGAGAGGAUGAUCAGCCACACUGGAACUGAAACACGGUCCAGACUCCUACGGGAGGCAGCAGUGGGGAAUAUUGCGCAAUGGGCGAAAGCCUGACGCAGCAACGCCGUGUGAGGGAUGAAGGCUUUCGGGUCGUAAACCUCUGUCGGAAGGGAAGAACGGGCAUUGGUCUAAUAGGCCUUUGUUUUGACGGUACCUUUAGAGGAAGCACCGGCUAACUCCGUGCCAGCAGCCGCGGUAAUACGGAGGGUGCAAGCGUUAUUCGGAAUUACUGGGCGUAAAGCGCACGUAGGCGGCUUCGUAAGUCAGGGGUGAAAUCCCACGGCUCAACCGUGGAACUGCCUUUGAAACUGCAAAGCUUGAAUCCUGGAGAGGGUGGCGGAAUUCCUGGUGUAGGAGUGAAAUCCGUAGAUAUCAGGAGGAACACCGGUGGCGAAGGCGGCCACCUGGACAGGUAUUGACGCUGAGGUGCGAAAGUGUGGGGAGCAAACAGGAUUAGAUACCCUGGUAGUCG
rnacentral:rRNA from 1 species